UACGUAUGGUGCAAGCGUUAUCCGGACUUACUGGGUGUAAAGGGAGCGCAGGCGGCGCGUUAAGCCUGGUGUGAAAGCCCGCGGCCCAACCGCGGGACUGCAUUGGGAACUGGCGCGCUGGAGUGCCGGAGGGGUAGGCGGAAUUCCUAGUGUAGCGGUGAAAUGCGUAGAUAUUAGGAGGAACACCAGUGGCGAAGGCGGCCUACUGGACGGUGACUGACGCUGAGGCUCGAAAGCGUGGGGAGCAAACAGG
rnacentral:rRNA from 1 species